rnacentral:snRNA from 1 species
AGAUGUGAGGGUGGUCUGGUCAUGACAUCUGUUACCCCAUUGAUCUCCAAGGUUGAUGUGGCUGAUCUGGCGGACCAGGCAGUUGUCCCCUUCCUUCCUCAUCACUCCAUGUGUGUCCCUCCUGACGCUGUGCACUUGGUCGAGGAGGAUGACCAUUCCUGCUAUAGGAGGACUGUUCUUUGGCCAAGGGUAUAGGAAUACCUGUGCUCCCCUGCUAGACCUCCAAACUCUUAAGAGAGGCAGAAGAAAUUAUAUUUCCAAAAAAUGGCCCCUUGGGCCACACAU